GGAUUAGAGGGACAUCAGGUCUACCCNNNNNNNNNNNNNNNNNNNNCCGUGCGAGUUCGGGCGCUGGCCACCGUCACCUUCCUCGCCCAGAAGAGACCCAGGGUGAGACUGGGAGCCACUGGUUUAUACUGGGAGGGACUUUGUGACUCCUAAAACCCUCAAAAACGGGGGAAAAAACGCUGAUUUUCAUACUGGUUCUUACUGGAUUUUACUGGUGCAGGCUUUGCUGCGUGGGAACCUCCUCUGCCUGGUCCUCAGGGGGCUCCUGGUCCCUCUUUGCGCCGAAAUCCGCCCGGAAAAUCCCGAUCCCGAGGAAAUUUGGGAUGAAGAUGAAGGGGGACAGGGGCCCUGCCCCCGCCACGCCGCCGCCCAGGCUUUGAACGCUUUGGCUCAGGGGUUGCCCCCGGAAAAACUGCUGAAAGAAGUGGUGAGUUUUGAGGGGAAAAAUGGGAAUUUUUUUAGGGAAUUCUCGGGAAUUUGGAGAUUUUGGGGAAAUUUGAGAAUUUUGGGAAUUUUUCCCGGAUUUUUAAAGUUUUUUUUUAAGGAAUUUUUUGGGUUUUUUUACGUCAUUUCAGGACCUUUUUUCGGGAAGAAUUUGGAGAAUCCUGAGGGGAAUUUUGGGGAGAAUUGUGGAGAUUUUGGGGUUGGGGUUGAAUUGAAAAAAUUGGGAAUUUUUGGGAAUUUUUCGGGAAUUUUUUUCAUUUUUUAAGAAUUUUUUUCUUUUCUUUUUUCAAUUUUCACUGAGGUGUUUUGACCUUUCAGGACCGUUUUUGGGCGGGAAUUUGGGAGAUCCUGAGGGGAAUUUUGGGGAGAAUUGUGGAGAUUUUGGGGUUGGGGUUGGAUUGAAAAAAUUGGGAAUUUUGGGGAAUUUUUUGGGAAUUUUUUGGGAUUUUUUUUCAUUUUUUAAUGAUUUUUUUUAAAUUUUCAGGGUGGGUUUUUGACCUUUCAGGACCUUUUUUGGGCGGGAAUUCGGAGAUCCUGAGGGGAAUUUUGGGGAGAAUUGUGGAGAUUUUGGGGUCGGGGUUGAAUUGAAAAAAUUGGGAAUUUUUGGGAAUUUUUCGGGAAUUUUUUUCAUUUUUUAAGAAUUUUUUUCUUUUUUUUUUUUCAAUUUUCACUGAGGUGUUUUGACCUUUCAGGACCUUUUUUGGGCGGGAAUUUCAGAGAUCCUGAGGGGAAUUUUGGGGAGAAUUGUGGAGAUUUUGGGGUCAGGGUUGAAUUUAAAAAAUUGGGAAUUUUGGGGGAAUUUUUUUGGAAUUUUUCGGAAAUUUUUUUCAUUUUUUAAUAAUUUUUUUUAAAUUUUCAGGGUGGAUUUUUGACCUUUCAGGACCUUUUUUGGGCGGGAAUUUGGGAGAUCCUGAGGGGAAUUUUGGGGAUAAUUGUGGAGAUUUUGGGGUCGGGAUUGAAUUGAAAAAAUUGGGAAUUUUUGGGGAAUUUUUCGGAAAUUUUUUUCAUUUUUUAAUAAUUUUUUUUGAAUUUUUAGGGUGGAUUUUUGACCGUUCAGGACCUUUUUUGGGCGGGAAUUUGGGAGAUCCUGAGGGGAAUUUUGGGGAGAAUUGUGGAGAUUUUGGGGUUGGGGUUGGAUUGAAAAAAUUGGGAAUUUUGGGGAAUUUUUUGGGAAUUUUUUGGGAAUUUUUUUCAUUUUUUAAUAAUUUUUUUUAAAUUUUCAGGGUGGAUUUUUGACCUUUCAGGACCUUUUUUGGGCGGGAAUU
ensembl:lncRNA